UAUGAGACAAGGAUAGAGGAGAUGAGUCAGAGUCAUAGGACCGAUAUGGAGGAGUUGAAGCAGAGCCAAGAGUUGAAGAUACAAUCUUUGCAAGAUCAGCUUGACCAUAUUUCAUCCUUUUUGCAGAGAUUUGCUCCUCCGGUUGAUGAUACUUCAUCUACUCGUAGAGAUGAUGAUGCCGACCCUUGAUACAUAUUGUAGAUUGUGUACUUAGGAAUUUGACUUGUAUGUUUUUAAAAUUUUGGAGAUUCCUUUGAUUAAUCUUGUAUGAUGAUCAUGAGA